ensembl:misc_RNA 7SK 7SK RNA
GGAUGUGAGGGCGAUCUGGUUGCGACAUCUGUCACCCCAUUGAUCGCCAGGGUUGAUUCGGCUGAUCUGGCUGGCUAGGCGGGUGUCCCCUUCCUCCCUCACCGCUCCAUGUGUGUCCCUACCGAAGCUGCGCGCUCGGUCGGUCGAAGAGGACGACCAUCCCCGCUAGAGGAGGACCGGUCUUCGGUCAAGGGUAUACGAGUAGCUGCGCUCCCCUGCUAGAACCUCCAAACAAGCUCUCAAAGAAGACACAUAAAUCUAUGUCAAUUUCAUUCUAUUAAAAACUUAAAAGAAAUUCUCUUUGGUAGUGAUU